AUCGAUUAGUUUGGUCUGCCACACGAUGAGGCCCGUCAAUGAAGAAGGCCGUCGAUAGACGAGCGAAUCGAUUACUGAUCAACAUGCCCACUGCAGCCACAUCUGUCCAAAAAACUGCAUCUGUGAGCAAGCAGCCUCAGUGCAGUGCUUUAGGGUUCAGUCUGUACCACCGCUCAUCUCAAACAACCUGAAGAAAAUACACCUGGGAUACAAUCAUCUCAAAGAACUGAAGGCCAGAGAUUUUUCUGGUCUGCCAGGCCUUGAAGAAGUAGUUCUGUCUUCUGGUGGGAUCGAGCAGAUUGACGCCAAUGUGUUCAGAUCUCACGUGUUGUUAAGAACUCUGGACCUUCAAAAAAACAAUUUGAGACAGCUUCCCCGUGGCCUGCCCUCUGGCCUGGAGAUCCUGCAUUUGGGCCACAACAGGAUCCACAGCCUACAAGAGUCACCCCUGGAGGGCCUCGAGAAGCUGCGGGUCUUGAACCUCCAGAAUAACCAGAUUAGCACCUUGUGCGCAAACACCCUAACAUUACUU